rnacentral:rRNA from 1 species
GCCUACGGGGCGCAGCAGUAGGGAAUCUUCCACAAUGGGCGAAAGCCUGAUGGAGCAACGCCGCGUGGGUGAAGAAGGUCUUCGGAUCGUAAAACCCUGUUGUUAGAGAAGAAAGUGCGUGAGAGUAACUGUUCACGUUUCGACGGUAUCUAACCAGAAAGCCACGGCUGACUACGUGCCAGCAGCCGCGGUAAUACGUAGGUGGCAAGCGUUAUCCGGAUUUAUUGGGCGUAAAGGGAACGCAGGCGGUCUUUUAAGUCUGAUGUUAAGGCCUUCGGCUGAACCGGAGUAGUGCAUUGUAAACU